GUGCUUGUCUGGGGGGUGGGGACAAGAUGGUUUUGAGGUUGGUUUUUCUCAGGUUGCCGGCUUUUCCUUUGUACUUGGGAUAUGCUGACCCCUGGGGUUUCCCCAAAAGUGGAAAACUUGACUGCAUAAUCAGUGGUAGCAAGUGACUUCGUUCAUGUUUUCACUUG